GACAGAGGUGCCAAGCGUUAGGCGGAAUCACUGGGCUUAAAGCGUGUGUAGGCGGACUUCUAAGUACCUUGUGAAAUCCCACGGCUCACCCGUGGAACUGCUUGGUAUACUGGUUGUCUUGAGCCUUCUAGGGGCGAGUGGAACAAAUGGUGGAGCGGUGAAAUGCGUAGAUAUCAUUUGGAACGCCAAUGGUGAAAACAACUCGCUGGGGGAAGUGCUGACGCUGAGACACGAAAGCCAGGGGGAGCGAACGGG
rnacentral:rRNA from 1 species